rnacentral:lncRNA from 1 species
GUCCGGCUUCGAUACUACCUGUAGCACGGGGCCUCCCGUGCUACCAAGUUGUUUUUGAUGAUGCGGCUUCCAAAUCGACGAUCGGCUCCGUUAGACUUGAUCUAUACUAUUAAAAGUAUUUGGAAACUAAAUUUUAUAAUUUUUCGACAUCAUUUGACUAGUGAUCAACAGAUCUCAAAAUUGACAAUUUUAAUGGCUGAUGUGGUGUGUUUGUGAGUUUAACAGUGUAAAACAAUUCAAAUCCGAUGAAAAUUUUAUAGAAAAUUUUUUUCACUAUUUAGAGUAAGAUCAGUAUAUCUGAUCUUGAAUUUAAAUCUUUUAUCAUCAUUUUUUAUGAGAUUUUUAUUUUUAGCCGUUCAAUUUUAGACUAUUUGUUUUAUAAGUAAAUGAUAUCGAAAAAUUAUAAAAUUUAGUUUCCAAAUACUUUUAAUAGUGUAGAUCAAUUCUAACGGAGCCGAUCAUCGAUUUGGAAGCCGCAUCAUCGAAAACAACUUGGUAGCACGGGAGGCCCCGUGCUACCGAUAGUAUAACAGCUGGACUAUAUAUAUAUAUAUAUAUAUAUAUAUAUAUAGUCCAGCUGUUAUACUAUCGGUAGCACGGGGCCUCCCGUGCUACCAAGUUGUUUUCGAUGAUGCGGCUUCCAAAUCGAUGAUCGGCUCCGUUAGAAUUGAUCUACACUAUUAAAAGUAUUUGGAAACUAAAUUUUAUAAUUUUUCGAUAUCAUUUACUUAUAAAACAAAUAGUCUAAAAUUGAACGGCUAAAAAUAAAAAUCUCAUAAAAAAUGAUGAUAAAAGAUUUAAAUUCAAGAUCAGAUAUACUGAUCUUACUCUAAAUAGUGAAAAAAAUUUUCUAUAAAAUUUUCAUCGGAUUUGAAUUGUUUUACACUGUUAAACUCACAAACACACCACAUCAGCCAUUAAAAUUGUCAAUUUUGAGAUCUGUUGAUCACUAGUCAAAUGAUGUCGAAAAAUUAUAAAAUUUAGUUUCCAAAUACUUUUAAUAGUAUAGAUCAAGUCUAACGGAGCCGAUCGUCGAUUUGGAAGCCGCAUCAUCAAAAACAACUUGGUAGCACGGGAGGCCCCGUGCUACAGGU